GGGAGCCCUAGCACAGGUGCUGCACGGCCGUCGUCAGCUCGUGCCGUGAGGUGUUGGGUUAAGUCCCGCAACGAGCGCAACCCCCGCCGUUAGUUGCCAGCGGUUCGGCCGGGCACUCUAACGGGACUGCCCGCGAAAGCGGAGAAGGAGGGGACGACGUCUGGUCAGCAUGGCCCUUACGGCCUGGGCGACACACGUGCUACAAUGCCCACUACAAAGCGAUGCCACCCGGCAACGGGGAGCUAAUCGCAAAAAGGUGGGCCCAGUUCGGAUUGGGGUCUGCAACCCGACCCCAUGAAGCCGGAAUCGCUAGUAAUCGCGGAUCAGCCAUGCCGCGGUGAAUACGUUCCCGGGCCUU
rnacentral:rRNA from 1 species